UACCAGACUCCUACGGGAGGCAGCAGUGAGGAAUAUUGGUCAAUGGCCGCAGGGCUGAACCAGCCAAGUCGCGUGAGGGAUGACGGUCCUAUGGAUUGUAAACCUCUUUUGUCGGGGAGCAAGGCCCGCCACGUGUGGCGGGAAGGAGAGUACCCGUAGAACAAGCAUCGGCUAACUCCGUGCCAGCAGCCGCGGUAAUACGGAGGAUGCGAGCGUUAUCCGGAUUUAUUGGGUUUAAAGGGUGCGCAGGCGGCACGGCAAGCCGGCGGUCAAAUCGCGGGGCUCAACCCCGCCCAGCCGUCGGAACUGCCGGGCUAGAGUGGGCGAGAAGUACGCGGAAUGCGUGGUGUAGCGGUGAAAUGCAUAGAUAUCACGCAGAACUCCGAUUGCGAAGGCAGCGUACCGGCGCCCAACUGACGCUGAAGCACGAAGGCGUGGGUAUCGAACAGGAUUAGAUACCCCGGUACC
rnacentral:rRNA from 1 species